UUUUCUUUUUUUUCCUUUUCACUUUUAGGCCCAGUUUGCCCUUCGCAGGAACGGAGCGGCGUAACGGACUCGCCGGCGGUGGCGGAACUCCUCACCACCAUGGAGAGCAGCUCUCCUCCUUGAGCUCGCACUGGAGCGAUGUCUGGUACCUAGGGGAGGCCAACUGCGGGUGCUGCGUAAGCGCGUCCUCGACGCAUUGGUGGACAGCGCCGGCGAGCAAAAGUCAACGCCGAUGGUGGAUUUGGACUCGAGUCUGCAGUGCUGCGGUUCCUCGAGGCUCGGCUGGUAGUCGUCUGCUCGUCAUGCCCUGCUGUGAUUGCUUGUCGUCACGCUCUGCUGAAGCUAUAGGUGCUCGCCGGCGGGACCUUCAGCGGCUGCUUGUCCACCACCAGAUUGGCCAAUCAGGCAACGGCGUCACUCGAGGUAGCUGUAGAGUUUUAACCGGCGGCGGAGCCUGCUCCAAGCGGCUGCGGCGGCGUUGAAGCUGUCGGGUACGGCAGCGCCGCGUGAGCGCAUCUGGGCGCGUGGUAUUCCGCGACCUGGAUUG
rnacentral:lncRNA from 1 species